UACGAAGGGGGCUAGCGUUGUUCGGAAUCACUGGGCGUAAAGGGCGCGUAGGCGGCUUUAUAAGUCGGGGGUGAAAGCCUGUGGCUCAACCACAGAAUUGCCUUCGAUACUGUAGAGCUUGAGACCGGAAGAGGUAAGUGGAACUGCGAGCGUAGAGGUGAAAUUCGUAGAUAUUCGCAAGAACACCAGUGGCGAAGGCGGCUUACUGGUCCGGUUCUGACGCUGAGGCGCGAAAGCGUGGGGAGCAAACAGG
rnacentral:rRNA from 1 species